rnacentral:rRNA from 1 species
GAUGAACGCUGGCGGCGUGCCUAAUACAUGCAAGUCGAGCGAACAGACGAGGAGCUUGCUCCUCUGACGUUAGCGGCGGACGGGUGAGUAACACGUGGAUAGCCUACCUAUAAGACUGGGAUAACUUCGGGAAACCGGAGCUAAUACCGGAUAAUAUAUUGAACCGCAUGGUUCAAUAGUGAAAGACGGUUUUGCUGUCACUUAUAGAUGGAUCCGCGCCGCAUUAGCUAGUUGGUAAGGUAACGGCUUACCAAGGCAACGAUGCGUAGCCGACCUGAGAGGGGGAUCGGCCACACUGGAACUGAGACACGGUCCAGACUCCUACGGGAGGCAGCAGUAGGGAAUCUUCCGCAAUGGGCGAAAGCCUGACGGAGCAACGCCGCGUGAGUGAUGAAGGUCUUCGGAUCGUAAAACUCUGUUAUUAGGGAAGAACAAAUGUGUAAGUAACUAUGCACGUCUUGACGGUACCUAAUCAGAAAGCCACGGCUAACCACGUG